rnacentral:rRNA from 1 species
GACGAACGCUGGCGGCGUGCCUAAUACAUGCAAGUCGAGCGCAGGAAAUCGACGGAACCCUUCGGGGGGAAGUCGAUGGAAUGAGCGGCGGACGGGUGAGUAACACGUAAAGAACCUGCCCUCAGGUCUGGGAUAACCACGAGAAAUCGGGGCUAAUACCGGAUGGGUCAUCGGACCGCAUGGUCCGAGGAUGAAAGGCGCUUCGGCGUCGCCUGGGGAUGGCUUUGCGGUGCAUUAGCUAGUUGGUGGGGUAAUGGCCCACCAAGGCGACGGUGCAUAGCCGACCUGAGAGGGUGAUCGGCCACACUGGGACUGAGGCACGGCCCAGACUCCUACGGGAGGCAGCAGUAGGGAAUCUUCCACAAUGGACGAAAGUCUGAUGGAGCAACGCCGCGUGAACGAUGAAGGCCUUCGGGUCGUAAAGUUCUGUUGUAAGGGAAGAACAAGUGCCGCAGGCAAUGGCGGCACCUUGACGGUACCUUGCGAGAAAGCCACGGCUAACUACGUGCCAGCCGCCGCCGUAA